rnacentral:rRNA from 1 species
AGGCGGCCUGCUGGACGACAACUGACGCUGAGGCGCGAAAGCGUGGGGAGCAAACAGGAUUAGAUACCCUGGUAGUCCACGCCGUAAACGAUGGAUACUAGGUGUGGGGGGACUGACCCCCUCCGUGCCGCAGUAAACACAAUAAGUAUCCCACCUGGGGAGUACGACCGCAAGGCUGAAACUCAAAGGAAUUGACGGGGGCCCGCACAAGCAGUGGAUUAUGUGGUUUAAUUCGACGCAACGCGAAGAACCUUACCGGGAUUUGACAUCCUGCUAACGAAGUAGAGAUACAUUAGGUGCCCUUCGGGGAAAGCAGAGACAGGUGGUGCAUGGUUGUCGUCAGCUCGUGUCGUGAGAUGUUGGGUUAAGUCCCGCAACGAGCGCAACCCUUAUUGUUAGUUGCUACGGAAGAGCACUCUAGCGAGACUGCCGUUGACAAAACGGAGGAAGGCGGGGACGACGUCAAAUCAUCAUGCCCCUUAUGUCCCGGGCUACACACGUAAUACAAUGGCGUUAAACAGAGGGAAGCAAAGCCGCGAGCAGAGCAAAACCCUAAAAGGCGUCUCAGUUCGGAUCGCAGUCUGCAACUCGACUGCGUGA